rnacentral:ncRNA from 1 species
UUUAUUGAGAGUUUGAUCCUGGCUCAGGAUUAACGCUGGCGGCAUGCCUAAGACAUGCAAGUCGAACGGAGCGCCCCAUUGAAACUGGAAUGAAGUUGAAGAGCUUGCUCAGAUAUGGAAUGAAAGUCGAUUUGGAUUCUGCGCUCAGUGGCGCACGGGUGAGUAACACGUGGGUUAUCUGCCUUUAAGCUGGGGAUAACAGUUAGAAAUGACUGCUAAUACCGAAUGUGCUAGUAAUAGUAAAGAAGCCCUUAAAGCUUCACUUAAAGAUGAGCCUGCGGCGUAUUAGCUUGUUGGUGGGGUAAUGGCCUACCAAGGCAACGAUGCGUAGCCGGACUGAGAGGUUGAACGGCCACACUGGGACUGAGACACGGCCCAGACUCCUACGGGAGACAGCAGUUAGGAAUAUUCGGCAAUGGGCGAAAGCCUGACCGAGCAAUGCCGCGUGUGAGAUGAAGGUCCUUUGGAUUGUAAAUCACUUUUAUUUGGGAAGAACAGUAAGUAUUGA